rnacentral:rRNA from 1 species
AUUGAACGCUGGCGGCAUGCCUUACACAUGCAAGUCGAACGGCAGCACGGGGCAACCUGGUGGCGAGUGGCGAACGGGUGAGUAAUGCAUCGGAACGUAUCUUUCAGUGGGGGAUAACGUAGCGAAAGUUACGCUAAUACCGCAUAUUCUGUGAGCAGGAAAGCCGGGGAUCGCAAGACCUUGCGCUGAUUGAGCGGCCGGUGUCAGAUUAGCUAGUUGGUGAGGUAAAGGCGCACAAAGGCGACGAUCUGUAGCGGGUCUGAGAGGAUGAUCCGCCACACUGGAACUGAGACACGGUCAAGACUCCUACGGGAGGCAGCAGUGGGGAAUUUUGGACAAUGGGGGCAACCCUGAUCCAGCCAUGCCGGGUGAGUGAAGAAGGCCUUCGGGUUGUAAAGCUCUUUCGGCCGGGAAAAAAUCGCACGGGCUAAUACCCUGUGUGGAUGACGGUACCGGAAUAAGAAGCACCGGCUAACUACGUGCCAGCAGCCGCGGUAAAAC